UCGGCAACGACCACCCAGGGCCGGAAAGCUAUCCAAACUCGGUCAUUUAGAGGAAGUAAAAGUCGUAACAAAGGUCUCCGUUGGUGAACCAGCGGAGGGAUCAUUA
rnacentral:ncRNA from 1 species